UACGUAGGGACCAAGCGUUGUUCGGAUUUACUGGGCGUAAAGGGCGCGUAGGCGGCCUGCUAAGUCGAACGUGAAAUCCCCGGGCUCAACCCGGGAACUGCGUCCGAUACUGGCAGGCUUGAAUCCGGGAGAGGGAUGUGGAAUUCCAGGUGUAGCGGUGAAAUGCGUAGAUAUCUGGAGGAACACCGGUGGCGAAGGCGGCAUCCUGGACCGGUAUUGACGCUGAUGCGCGAAAGCCAGGGGAGCAAACGGG
rnacentral:rRNA from 1 species